rnacentral:tRNA from 1 species
CCCUGGUAAGCUCAGCUGUUAGGGCGCUCCACUGGAAAUGGAGAGGUCCAGGGUUCAAUACCCGGACAAGGCG